UGAUAGUGUUUUUAAUCACUGUCAGAUAUCAUUAUACUUGAUCCAACUAUGCUACGUCACCAUUGUACCACGACCCCCCUGUGCUGGGUUUUUUUUUUAAUUUUAGAAUAUGAUAGCAAAAAAAAUUACAAGCAGCUUUUUUCGUACAAUUUUUUUUUUCCGAUAUGCUAACCGUUCGUCCGUUACAGCUUGUUAAAGUUGAGUGAUUUUAGGCCAAGUUUCUAUUGUUAUAUUACUGUAUUAAAUACAGAAGUCAUUAUUUUUAUUUGCUGUUGCAUAAACCAAAUUUUAUUGAUCAAGUUAUGACAUGUAAAUUAACCAUAAAAAUUUACGACUUACUAAAUGAGUGAUAACAAUAAUAGAUACAAAUCGGAUUUUCGGUGUAUUAUUAUAAUAAAUUAUAUUUGAAAUUUUAUUGAAAUAAUUAAAUUAAAAGAAUAUCGAAUAAGAGGCGAGUACAAUAGACAAUGAAAUAUUUACAGUUUUGGAUUUGCUGCUGUUGAAAGACAAAAUUACCGAAAAACUUAACUUUUUGCUCUUUUGAGAAAAAUAAGUUUUGCUGUAGUGACAUUUUACUUAAAAAUUUUUAGUUUUGAUACCUGCUAUUGUAAGUUAUCAUCUGUAUUUUUAAGUAUGCACUUGUAAGUAAACUAAGAUACUUUGACGUCAUAAGAUUAAUAUCCUAAUCAUAUUAAGAAACAAAAAAGAUUGUAAUCAUGAUUUUUUAUUACUGUCUAUCAUAAUAAAGUCAUCUAUCGAAUAAACAUAUAGUUCUCAAACAAACUAAAUUAUAGUUUUUGUACAAUUUUGAUGUCUAUUGGUUUUGUAUACACUUGUCUUAGCAUACUACAUUAGUAAGCUUUAAUUUCAUAUCAGAUCAACAUUAGAAUGAAUUUUUAUACUACAACGACAGUAUUAUAGCUAAAUUUCUCAUUUGAAUUCUCUUUGAACAAUAUUAGAUUACAAAAAAUAAAUAAAUCUAAUAGAAAUUUUUAAAUUAAAAUAGGGCAAUGUAAUAAAGUAAUUCAUGUAGUUAUUAUAGUACUCUUUUUAUAAUGUAAUAUUAGAGGGAGUAGUAAGAAAAUAUCUUAAAAUUUAAGAUAUAAGUAAUUGUUAUUUUAUAUGUUACAUUCAAGUAUUUAAAAAAAUAACUAUAGUAAAAAGAUUAUUUUUAUAGAUAUUAUGUUUACUACAGUAGAAUUUUGAUAAAGUUAAGCAUAUUCCGUUCCUUGAAAAAAGAAAUUUUACACAAAAGAAAUAAAUAUUAUAGAUAACACAAAUAAAUUAUUUGUAGUUUUAUAGCUAAAAGAUUUUACUGUGGUAGGUUAGACUAGUUAAAACAAUUAGUUUAAAUUUAAAAGCUGUCAAUUAUUAAAAUAAAUACAUAAAUUCAUUAAAACAUCAUAAAUUUUAGUAUUGCCUAUUGGAAUCAAUCUGUUAUAUUUUUAUAAAUAAGUGUUGAAUACAAACUCAAAUUCUUUAACAAUUUUAAGUUAUUUUUUUUCUUUUAAUAGUUCAAAAACCUUAUUAAGUUAAAAAAAAUAAUUUCCCUUGAGCUUUAACUUAUCCAGGUUCUACUGUAUUUUAAAAUUGGCAUCAGUGCUGUGCCAAGAAAAGGGCAUAGGAUGAUAUAAGGUUCAUACACAAUAUUUAAUUGUUAUAAUUGGCAGUUAUUUAAUAUUAAAGGAUGCUAACAUAUAAUUUAAAAAAAAUUAUAAAUAUAAAUUAAAAUAAAUAAAUUUUUACCUAUUCUCUUUUUAUUGUGUCAGUGCUAGGUUUUACAGUUUUUCUUGUGCUUAAAAGAAAGUGGUUUAGGUGGGAUAAAUUUUUUCCAAUAAAAAUUAUUACAUGAUGAAUAUAUUAUUUUUUUAUUAAGGGAGAAAUAAUAGUUAUUCAGAACCAAAACUCCAUAGUAGACCUAACCCCAAGACCUAUACUAGUGUAAGCAUGAUUACAAUGCAUUUUAUGAGAAAACAAAGUUUUUUUUUUGUGAAAAUGGUUUUUUUUCAUUAGGAAUUGUUGAAAUGUCUGUAGGAGGGUUAUCUUAAUACUUAAUUUUCUAUGGCAUUACGCAUAUUCUACAUGAAUUCAUGUAUUACGCAUAUUCUGUCAUGAAUAAAGUAUAAAGUUUAACUCUCAUACAGGUGUUUCACAAUUCCAAAGUGAAAAAAAUUCUAAGUUGAGCAAAAGAAAAAAAGUUUUCUACAAAAUAAUGAUAAAACAUAAUUGAAACGGUCAUUUCAAAAAUGAUAUAAGUAAUAAAAUUUUAAUUUCCAUGUAUCAAAAAUAACUUAAUUACUCUAGAAAUCCAACUUGUUUUGCACUUGCACCUAUUUACUAAUUUAUUUUUAAGGUUUCUGGUAUUCAUAAUUCAUAGUUUUAAAUAGUCUAACUUUGACCAAAUUAUUAAAUUGAAAUAAAACAUUUUUGAUUUGCAGUGAAUAGAAAUUUAUAAUAUGAAAUUUAAAUCAAGAAAUAAAAUAAAAUAAUAUAUAUUUUUUUUCCUAAAAAUUUAACUUAUCUUAACUUGGCUAUAGGUAACAAUACUUAGAACAACUUUUUUCAAAAUAAAGAUUUUGUCGUUUUUGCUUAAUAAACCAUUGCACUUUUAAUAAAACAUUAAAAAAAAAAAAAUAUUUCUUUUUAAUAACAAAAACUUAACUUGACAAAAUGUUACAAUACAGAAACAUUUUUGAAUGAAGUCAUUGACUUUUGUAGUAAAUAUCAGACUGACAAAUGAAAUUUUUACACAAAAUACAUAAGUAUACAUAAUAAUGUAUAAUUAUCAAAUUUGACAAAGUCAUUACUGAAAAAUCAGUGACAAAUGUAGUUUUUGAAAUGACUGAUUCAAUUGAAGUACUGGUUUCAAAAAGAACCAGCAUUUUGUAUAACAUACAAAUUCAUGCAAUUUUGAGCCUUAAUGAGGGUUGGGUAAUAAAAUGUACAUUUGGUUUUAUUUUUUACUAUGCAUAAUACACACGUACUGGUGUUCAGUAAGGAAACAGGUCAAUUGUUAUGAACAUAAGAACUAUAGAUACCUGUUUCCUUAAUUACAGAACAUGUAUACAUGCAGACGUAUAAAAUGUAUAAUUCUUAAAAAAAAUGUUAUUCUUUAAUAGAUCACACUGAUUUUAAACCUUUUUAUUUAAUAAACAUCAGUUUAUGAUUUCAUAAAAUUAACAAAAUAUUAACUUUUUAUGUUUUGUGUGAUAAAUUAUGUGUUAGUCAUUCUUUUGGAAAUUUUUUGGGAUUUCAGUGAUUAUAUUUUAUAUUUUUAAAGUGAAGUAAAAAUUAAUUAAAUAAAUACAAUAUUUUAAUAUAAAUUAAAAAAGUGAUCUAUUUUUAAUUAUGAAUUAUUUGUCAUGAUAUAAGUAUUGUUUGUAAAAAAGUAGAUGUGUAAUAUGUACAUAUAAUACUUAUACUUUUGUGUAUUAUACUGACCCAACUCUUACCUUAAUAGACAAAGGAGCAAAAGUGUCAUUUUUUUUGAGGCCCACAAAAAAUUUAGUAUUUGAUAGUUGUUAAUUAUUUCUAUGUACACAAAUUUAUUCAUUUUAAAUGUAAGUAUAGUAUUAAUUAUAAAUUUUUUGUUUUAAUAAUAAUGUAUUUAUCAGAAUAUAGACAAGAUAUAAUAAAAAUUAGUAAUUAUAACUUUAUAAUUAAAAUAUUGCAAAACAUUUCUCUAUACUAAUAUAAUAACUUUAUGGAUUAAUUAAGUAAUGGAUUAUUCAAUUAAAUUAAGAUUACGAUUGGAUCCAAAAAUAUUUAUGUAAUGUAAUCAUUGUAGGAAAGAUCUAGCAAAUUUUAAGGUUAAAUUUUAAUGUAAAAAUAUUAGUAACACAAUGUAUUAUAAGCCAUUUAAAAUUAAAUUUUUUACUAUAUUAAUAACUAAUUUUGUAAAUAUUUCUGUAUAGUUGAUUAAAUUCUCUUUAAAAUUGUAAUUUUUAAUUUUACCUUGUUAUUUUUUUAUUUUAAUACAAAAUAAUAUUGAAAUGUAAAUAAUAUUAUAUGUAUUAUUGACUGAUUAAGUAUUAAGUUUAUUUUGUAUUUUGUACAGCAUUAAAAAAUUGAAAAUUGUAUCAUUUUAAAAGCAAUAACUGUGAUUUGAAUUUUUAUGGUUUAAUUUAUCAAAAUAAAAUUUAAUAUGGAUUGAUAAUAUAGUGAAAUUCUAAGAAUAUUUAACAUGAAUAUCUAACAUGAAAUAACAACUAAUUAGAUAACUGAUUUACUCCUUAUUUUGAAAUUAGUACUCUUUUAUUAAUAAAUUGAUUCUUGAUAUUGUGUAAGUAGUAAAUAUAGUUAUUAAAAUAGUUAAUUAACUAACAUACCAACGUACUACAAUAAAAAUAAUGUACACGUUGAUAGCGAUGAAACUUAACUGAGUUUUUAUAGCCGAUAGGAGGUUUUAAUAGGAUAAGUUAACUCCAACAUUUCUAGGAAGAGUUAAUUAUAAAUAAUUUAUUUUUAUUGAAAAAUGAUUGAAAAGUUUUUUAAAAUUUAAGUUGGUAAAUAAGUAUAGAAACACUGAAUAUUCAUUGUUUCCAGUAUUCAUAAAAAUAUCCAGUCCUUAUCUUUUUCUUUAUUAUUAAAAGGUUUGGUUUUACCUGUUUAGCGGGAAAAGGAAAAAGGGAAGUUUUUACACGUGUAAAUUGAAAAAUACUACCGUAUACAAUUAUAACCUAAAAUUAACCUUCUAAAUGUUAUCGUGCUAAACUUUUACAUGAAUUUAUUAACAGUCCUUUGCAUUACGAGUGAUGUGUGCUAAUCGUCAGCAAUAACAAAUUGUUCAUCAUUUGAAGAUUCAGAUAAUGAAUAUUGUCUUCUUUGAUAGGUUUUUUGUUCAUUAACGUUUGUUUGACUCAUACCUAAUUCCAUGACCAUUUCUUCGAAUGUGGAAUCGAUAUGAGCCAAUUUUUUGUAUUCCACUAUACAUUUUGGGGGAAUUGUAUGUUUGUCACUACCAGACUUUCUAUCGUGGACACAACAUUUUAUCUAAUUUAAGAAAUUGUAAUUAUUAUAUUGUUCAAAAUUGCCAAGAAAAAUAUCAUGAUUGAAAUCUACAUACUUCAUUGUCUUUGACCCAGUACUUCCUCCUAUUCAUGGCCAAACGAAGACAUUUUUUUUCUUCUUCAGUUUUUGGAUUUAGAAAAUUUAUAAUUUUUUCUAGUCCUGAAUGUUUUGGGCACCACCAGCUUGUACACUUUACAAUCAAGUUAAGCAUAAACAAAUUUGUUAGAUAACUGUUGCUGUAGUUCGUCCACUUGAUUUUUACCAUCUUUCUGUGUUAAAUAUCCCAUUAUUAGUAUAAUU